rnacentral:rRNA from 1 species
UACGUAGGGUGCAAGCGUUUGUCCGGAAUUAUUGGGCGUAAAGAGCUCGUAGGCGGUCUGUCGCGUCGGCUGUGAAAACCCGGGGCUCAACCCCGGGCCUGCAGUCGAUACGGGCAGACUAGAGUGCGGUAGGGGAGACUGGAAUUCCUGGUGUAGCGGUGAAAUGCGCAGAUAUCAGGAGGAACACCGGUGGCGAAGGCGGGUCUCUGGGCCGAUACUGACGCUGAGGAGCGAAAGCGUGGGGAGCGAACAGG